GACGAACGCUGGCGGCGUGCUUAACACAUGCAAGUCGAACGGAAAGGCCCUGCUUUUGUGGGGUGCUCGAGUGGCGAACGGGUGAGUAACACGUGAGUAACCUGCCCUUGACUUUGGGAUAACUUCAGGAAACUGGGGCUACUACCGGAUAGGAGCUCCUGCUGCAUGGAGGGGGUUGGAAAGUUUCGGCGGUUGGGGAUGGACUCGCGGCUUAUCAGCUUGUUGGUGGGGUAGUGGCUUACCAAGGCUUUGACGGGUAGCCGGCCUGAGAGGGUGACCGGGCACAAGGGGACUGAGAGACGGCCCAGACGCCUACGGGAGGCAGCAGUGGGGAAUAUUGCACAAUGGGCGGAAGCCUGAUGCAGCAACGCCGCGUGCGGGAUGACGGCCUGCGGGUUGUAAACCGCUUUCGCCUGUGACGAAGCGGGAGUGACGGUAAUGGGUAAAGAAGCACCGGCUAACUACGUG
rnacentral:rRNA from 1 species